UGGGGAAUUUUGGACAAUGGGGGAAACCCUGAUCCAGCCAUCCCGCGUGUGCGAUGAAGGCCUUCGGGUUGUAAAGCACUUUUGGCAGGAAAGAAACGUCAUGGGUUAAUACCCCGUGAAACUGACGGUACCUGCAGAAUAAGCACCGGCUACCUACGUGCCAGCAGCCGCGGUAAUACGUAGGGUGCAUGCGUUAAUCGGAAUUACUGGGCGUAAAGCGUGCGCAGGGGGUUCGGAAAGAAAGAUGUGAAAUCCCAGAGCUCAACUUUGGAACUGCAUUUUUAUCUACCGUGCUAGAGUGUGUCAGAGGGAGGUGGAAUUCCGCGUGUAGCAGUGAAAUGCGUAGAUAUGCGGAGGAACACCGAUGGCGAAGGCAGCCUCCUGGGAUAACACUGACGCUCAUGCACGAAAGCGUGGGGAGCAAACAGG
rnacentral:rRNA from 1 species